UAUUAUCAAAUUUUAAAAUUUUAAAAACCAAGUGAUUGGUGUUUUUCACACCCGUGAACCUGCAGGGGGAUCUCUGCAGCCUCAUUGUUAUAAGUUAUGGAAUUAUUUGUGAUUAUGUAAAAUAUACAUUAAUAAGUUGUGGUCGUACAAAAAGGUUCUUAAAGGUUUAAAAGACCACAAGCUGCAGCCGGGAAAAGAUUGCAAAACCACAGAUUGCAGGAGAAAGAAAAUCCUAGUUUACAAACGAAAAUUUCGACCAUACCCGCCGGAAUUGCGCACAAAAAUUCGGGAAUUUCGCCCAGACCUGCCCGAAUCCCGGCGGGGGCGGGUCCCGGCCCCUCGCAGCCCUCACCUGCACAGGUCUUACACUGCAUGCUGAGCAACACAUUUGAUUUGCUUUCUCUUUGCUAUAUAUUUUUUUUUUUUUUUUUAAGAGCUAACACCAGUGGGUCAGAAGGAACUCUGAACCCAGUGACUCUGACAUUUUGGGUGAUUCUUGGAGGUGAAAAAACAUAUUAGCAUACAAGACCUCACCUUAUUUGCUUUCCUGUCUUAAAACAGCAUUGGUUGCAAUAAGGUGUUAUAAAUCCUUUAGUUUUCUGAGCUGCCCUUAUUGGAGGCUUUCUGGGAACCUCUUUGCUUUGGUUAGUUUUUAUUGCUUAUACUAUUUUGUUUCUACCCAAGCCUCAUGGUCUUUUUUCAGUUUUUCUCACACACAGACUUUCCAGGUCGCAGGUAUGAGAUGCGAUCAUUUACACAUAAGCUUUAAGAUCUCAGGUUCUGAAUUGGCUUGAUUAGGAGCCUUCAAUUUACACUUGGGGCAUAGAACACACAAAUUCUGCAUUAUAAUAGUACUCAUACAAGGUGCCAGCCUCUUAAUGCACCAAAAACUCCCGGAAAUUGCCUGUAGGCUAUUCCGUUUAUCACUUUGGCAUUUUUCCUUUAUUUAAACUCUCUUUUACAAAAUCUCAGUCUUUUCUCGUUCUCUUCUCGCACAAUCUAAUUAAAGCAUUGUUUCUACUGACACUUAUUUCAUUGCCCUGCGAAAGGCUGUGCCUGUUACAGCAAAAACUCUGAUAUGCUCACAAACACAGAACCCUGUCCUUAUCUCAAAUUCAGGGACAGUCAGGGCUUAAGUUGUUGUGAGGGAGGAAUUCUUGGAAUUCCUUUGAUUUGUUUUGCUACAGUUAAACAUAAAUCAUUAUAGUGUAGCUGUUCUGCAUAAAAUGCUACACUUGUUGCAAAAAAAAUCUUAAAAUCUCUAUAAAUGCAACUAUAUAAUCUCGAGAAUUAAAAUACUAUAAUGUGGGGGAAGAAUCACACAAACUCACUGGGAAACUCACUGGUGGUAUCUCUUAAAGUGUCCCCUUUUCUCAACACAGCACAGCAUAACAGCACACAGUAAAAUUCCAGGAAUCCAAGUCCGAACCACUGGGGCAGAGGAACCCGCCCAGUUCGUCUAGCCACUGUUCAAAUGCACACAAAUCACCGCCUUUAAACACAGUGCACGUCCUCAGCCCCGUUUCUCCGCUUGUUUCCCUUCCCCGCGGGCACUCAGGCCCAGGAGCGAGGCCGGGCCCUGCCGGCUCUGAGGGACUGCCCAGCAGUGCUGCUCUGGCACCCCAGGGCCCUCUCAGUCCGUCCCUUUAUCGCACACCAGCGCUCCUUGGCUGUCUCCGCAGGUGGCAAGCGAGGCAGAGCGGAGCCCCUCCAGGGAAAUUCCCCGGGUGCGCCAAGGAGGUCUGUUCUACCCCCUGCCCCUGCGAGGACAGAAAAUCUCCUGCCUGGCUCGCCAUGAUGAAACACGGAUGAAAAUCAAACCCUACAAUUUUAAUAAAGAUUUGUAGGGAAUGGGAAAAUCCCCAUUCCCUGUUUCCUUGUGGCUGCAGCCUGGAACAUCCACUCAGAAUGAUGAACUUUCUGACAGCCCUGCUGAAUGACACCAGGACAAGGUUGGUGAGAAACGGAGGAAAAUGUGUUUUGAUAGGAAAUUACAAAAUUAUUUCUUUCUGUCGCAUUAAUUUUUAGUCCAUUGCAGUUCUGUUUUCACAGUGCCACCUUCUCAGCUGAUUGUGUUUGUGUCCUCCUUUCUCUCCGGCCCCUCUUUGCCUGCUCUGUUUCUCUCUCAGUGUUUCCCUUGAUCCAGGGCAGCUCCCACCAAAGGCCCUGCCCUGAUUUCAUUCCCAAUCCAUGAGCUGCAACAACACAGGGAUGAAGUUAUGAAGGCUGGCAGUGAAAUGUCACUGUAGGAUCCUGCUGCAGCACCCCCUGCCCCGCCAGCAUCGCCCCAGCCCCGAGCCGCAGGGCAGGGGGAGGCCGAGCUCGCCCCGGCUCUAUCGAGGGGUCUCCGGGAGGAUUUUUCUGGAGAGCGCUCGGAGCCGGCAGAUGCCGAGCCCCGGAUCCCUCCGGGCUCCCCAAGAGGAGCUUUUUCGGGGGGAGAGGAGCUGUGAUCGCCCCUCGGAGGGUCCCGGGGGACCACGCGGGGCUGGCCCGGUGCUGACAGGGCGGGACAUUGGUUUUGGGGAUCCCCGUGAGAGCCGGGGCUGCGGAACGUGGGACCCCCGGGGCGGCAGAGGGGAAGGGGCGAUACCGGAGCUGGGGGACCCCCGGCAGCCGGAGAUGAGGCGGGGACGGGACCCCUGAGCCUGGCAGGGCCUGUCCUGGGGUGACCUCACGAUGCUCGUACCCCCAUUGGUCCGUUUGGCCCCGAAAUGAGUUCUGCACCUUCAGGGCUGGUUCUGAGAGCGAAGAGGGGGAGGAAGAAGCGCGCAGUUUGUUUUCAGGAGCUGCACUCACCCCUCCACAUUCCGGCUCCUGGGCUGCUGAGAUGCCUUAAGGAGCUGGGACAGAGGCCAGACGGAGCCAAGAGGAAUAAAGAGGAUAUUUAUUGAAGUGCCUUCAAAGGCCACACCCCGGCAGUGCCGGAGCCACGGUCGGGGCUCUGCCCGGAUGGCUCCGAGAUGGAAGCAAAAGAGGGCUUGGUCAUGAGAUCUCACAUUUUUAUAAGUGUUAGUCCAUUUGCAUACAGGAUUUAACGGCCCAAUUAAUAGCUUCAAAUUAUGAACUUUCAUCCUCCUUGCUUGCCUGCCCUAUGCUUUUCCUGUUGUUUGUGCUUUGGGCCUGAAGUUUGAAGAGAUUGUCCUUGACUCUCCAGCUAGAACAGGAUUGUUUUGUCUUCACCACCCUGUGAAAAGAUCCCAGGAACACUUAAUAUAAAGCUAGAAGCUGCACACUGAAACAGAACAGAAAAACUUAAACCUGAGGUAUCAGUUGUCUGCCAACAGACAGCAGGACAGAGCUCUCCUUUGCUUUUAGUUAGUUUUUAGCUCGCUGAGGCAGAGAAGUUCCCUGGGCUGUGGUUUUUCUUUUUCUUUGGAGCUGUUUAAACCUGCUCUGGACUGAACACCAGAAGAGCACCGGCAGCUCACACCUGUGGCCCACCGGGCUGGGCCUGGGCCAUGGAGGGACUGAUCAGAGCCUGAGUGAGCCGAGCUGCAGCCCACGGAGGGACUUUCUGAGUUUGUCAUCUCUUUUGGAGCAACAACAGGUUUUAUUGUUUAAUAUUGUUCAUGUUUUGUGCUGGUGAAUGCUUUGCCUGUUAAAUAAACAGGUUUUUU